rnacentral:rRNA from 1 species
AUGGCCGCUCCGAGCGCGUCGUUGGGUAUGGGAACCACCCCACCCGAUGCCGGCGAGUCUCCCUCCACGCCAGGCGGAGAGACGGAAAGCUCCGCGCAGGCCUGGAUGCAGGCGCGCUCGUACGUCCGCCCCGACAGCAGGAUCACCGGGUCGGACAUGGGCGCGCCCAGUAUCGGGCACAGGAACUCCCGUGGCACCUCCUCCUCCUUGUCCACCGGGGACAGGGUUGCAGGGAGGGACGGCGGCGGCGGCGGCUUGGAGUGGAAGGGCAGAAGCUUCCAGCGCCAUGCGCGCGCGGCACCCAUGCUUAAUUAUCAGCUCGGCAGCUGCAAGCAGCGCAGCGGCGCUUUGGUGCUUUUGGUGCAAUAA